UGUAUAUGCAUGCAUAUGGAGGCCAGAGGUUGCUGUUAAGCAUCUUCCUGGACCAUUUUCCACCAUAUCUUUUCGAGAUGUGUCUCUUGUGUAACCUGGAGCCCAUGGAUUUGUCUAGAAUUGACAAUGAACUUGAUAUACCCAGCUAUCUGUCUCUGCUCUCUUGCUUUCCAGUGCUGGAAAUGCAGAUGUGUGGUCAACAUUUUUUGUUUGUUUGUUUGUUUGUUUGGUCUUUUAAAAGAAUGUGUUGGGAGUUUGAACUCAGGUCCCCUUCUUCGCACACCAAGCACUUCAACCAUGCGGUCACUUCCCAAGCCCCUGUUUUAUUGUGUUCACUAGUGAUGCCUUUGCUUCCUUUCAGUCCUUGUCUCCUGUCCCACACAAGCACCAGUGGUGGGUCCCAGCCCUUCUUUUGUAGGCCAACUCAGCAUUGCCCAGCCCUGCUUGUUCUUAAGGGAAUUAUGUGAGAGGUUGUCAAAGGUACAGAAUUCUGGGGCCCCACCAGAGUCCCAUUAAUCCUGUUUUUUCUGGGAGAGGCCUGGGGAACCUUUUUGAAGUUCUUUUCAUUGCUAUGAUUCUCGACAUUUCUAGUCUCUGUGAACAGCAGCCCCCUUUCUUUCUGGACCCAGCUGCGCAGUCUUUAAGACCUUACCUCAUAGUUAUGCCCCAACCCCAUCUUUCCCUGCAAGCUAUUCUCCAGCCUGCAGAACUGGUCUCUAAAAGUAGGACAGGGGUAUCUGCCAUCUUCUUUCCUUCAGGAACAAGGGUAGGCAGGGUGGCGUGGGAAGUCAUGGAAUGCACAGUGCAGAAGACUGUUGUGUGGGGCUGAAAGCAGGGUGGAGUGCCUGUGAGUUUCCCUGGCUUCCCCUCACGAUGUCAGAGCUCUGGGCGCACACUUAAACCUCUUUGAACAUCUGUGUUCUAACUAGGAAAGCAGUUUUGUCUGUAUCAAACAAGGUGUCAGAGUGGGGAUGUAUGUAUCGAGUGUGUUGGAGAGGGCUGCGGGGAGCAUCUCUGUAAGGAGGGAAACCAGGGAGGCUGGCUGAGAUACAGCUGCAGCAGAGGUCUCAGCUGCGCCAUGGAGAGCCAUGGGGGUGCAAUACCCUUCCCAGUUGUUGGCAACUGAGAGAAGAGAGUCAUUAUGUCUUCAUAUCCACCAGUCAUAGGAUAUGGGCUGGCACUGGAGAGAGGGCAUGACCUCAGGUGAUGAUGUGCCUUGGCUGAGAUGUCCCUGUGCCUGCAGCGGUCCUUAAUAGGUUCUUGUGGGUGGGGAAAGAGUGCCUUCAUCUUGGAGAGCAUCUCAGUGGGGUAGGGUAGCACCUGCUGCCCACACCAGCACUCGUGAACCCUGGCAGUGAAGCCAGCACAAUUGUUGCCAUUCAGCAAACAUUUACAGUGGCCAUUAUCCCAACGCUGGCAAGCUGUGCCACUUGUGAGACAUUGCUUACCUGGGCUUGGACUGCCUUCUGAUGUUGCAAGCAGAUUCCAAACUCCGCUCUGCCCACCUCCUAAACAGCUCCGAGAACGUGCCGAGAAAGCAGAAGGGGGAUUGCUGAGUGAAAUAUUACACAAAUGUCAGGGAUGACUGAGCCCACUUUUCUUCAAUGAAUGUAUAUGGUCGGGACCCGGAUUCCCUGAAGGGAAAAGGUUGUGAUAAAUGUAAUGGUGCUUGUCUAUGAAAGAUGGCAUUUUGAUUUUUCUUUCUUCUCUCUGUAGGGAAUUAGAAUAAUGGAGAUGCUGCUAAAGGAACAGUGUGGUGCCCCCUUAGUGGAAUAAAGAAUCAUCAGGAAGCUGCCGCUGUGUUUACUCUUUUUUUUUUUCUUUUUCUUUCUUUCUUUUUUUUUUGAGAAUCCCUUCUUGGCCACGACAUCAUAGGCACAAUUAUUGGAUGCAAGUUUCAGGACACAGAAUCUGUGGCUUAGAGAAAAGGAGACCUUCCCUGCCGAGCACAGACUGACACUCUACUUUGGAGCCUGCUUCAAAUCAUGGGACUCAUGGAUAUGAGACCUUUUCAGCUGGAUUUUAUGACAUGAUCUCUUUACAAUCUUAUGAAUAAAGGGAGAGAACAUA